rnacentral:rRNA from 1 species
GACGAACGCCGGCGGCGUGCUUAACACAUGCAAGUCGAACGGACAGACAGAGAGCUUGCUCUCUUGAAGUUAGUGGCGAACGGGUGAGUAACGCGUAAUCAACCUGCCCUUCAGAGGGGGAUAACAACGGGAAACCGUUGCUAAUACCGCGUACGAUUCAUGAACGGCAUCGUUUAUGAAUGAAAGGUGGCCUCUAUGUAUAAGCUAUCGCUGAAGGAGGGGAUUGCGUCUGAUUAGCUAGUUGGAGGGGUAACGGCCCGCCAAGGCAAUGAUCAGGAGCCGGUCUGAGAGGAUGAACGGCCACAUUGGGACUGAGACACGGCCCAAACUCCUACGGGAGGCAGCAGUGGGGAAUCUUCCGCAAUGGACGAAAGUCUGACGGAGCAACGCCGCGUGAGUGAUGAAGGUCUUCGGAUUGUAAAGCUCUGUUAAUCGGGACGAAAGAGUUCUGCGUGAAUAAUGCAGAAAAGUGACGGUACCGGAAUAGAAAGCCACGGCUAACUACGUGCCAGCCGCCGCAGUAA